UCGGGAGUCUUGCACAAUGGGGGCAACCCUGAUGCAGCAACGCCGCGUGCGGGAUGAAGUCCUUCGGAACGUAAACCGCUUUUGUCCGGNAAGAAGCACUGACGGUACCGGNCGAAUAAGCCCCGGCUAACUACGUGCCANCANCCGCGGUAAAANGUAGGGGGCGAGCGUUGCCCGGAUUUACUGGGCGUAAAGCGCGCGUAGGCGGCUGCGUAAGUGGGGAGUUAAAGCCCUCGGCUCAACCGAGGAAAUGCUCCCCANACUGCGCGGCUUGAGUGUAGGAGAGGGGAGUGGAAUUCCCGGUGUAGCGGUGAAAUGCGUUGAUAUCGGGAGGAACACCGGUGGCGAAGGCGGCUCCCUGGCCUACUACUGACGCUGAGGCGCGAAAGCGUGGGGAGCGAACGGGAUUAGAUACCCCGGUAGUCCACGCCGUAAACGAUGAGCGCUAGGUGUUGGUGGUCUCGACCCCACCAGUGCCGNAGCUAACGCAUUAAGCGCUC
rnacentral:rRNA from 1 species